AGCUCAAUUAGUAGAGCGUGGUGUUUGCAACGCCAGGGUUGUGGGUUCGAUUCCCAC
rnacentral:tRNA from 1 species